UGGGUAAUCUUUUGAAACUUCAUCGUGCUGGGGAUAGAGCAUUGCAACUAUUGCUCUUGAACGAGGAAUCCCUAGUAAGUACAAGUCACUAGCUUGUGCUGAUUACGUCCCUGCCCUUUGUACACACCGCCCGUCGCUACUACCGAUUGAAUGGCUUAGUGAGGCCCUCGGAUUGAGGCUCGGAGUUUGGCAACAGACUCUUGGUUUUGAAAAGUUGGUCAAACUUGGUCAUUUAGAGGAAGUAAAAGUCGUAACAAGGUUUCCGUAGGUGAACCUGCGGAAGGAUCAUU
rnacentral:rRNA from 1 species